rnacentral:rRNA from 1 species
AUUGAACGCUGGCGGCAGGCCUAACACAUGCAAGUCGAGCGAGCGGCGGACGGGUGAGUAAUGUCUGGGAAACUGCCUGAUGGAGGGGGAUAACUACUGGAAACGGUAGCUAAUACCGCAUACCAUCAGAUGUGCCCAGAUGGGAUUAGCUAGUAGGUGGGGUAAAGGCUCACCUAGGCGACGAUCCCUAGCUGGUCUGAGAGGAUGACCAGCCACACGGGAACGGAGAAACGGUCCAUACUCCUACGGGAGGCAGCAGUGGGGAAUAUUGGACAAUGGGCUAAAGCCUGAUGCAGCCAUGCCGCGUGUAUGAAGAAGGUCUUCGGGUUGUAAAGUACUUUAAGUUGGGAGGCGUUACCAGCAGAAUAAGCACCGGCUAACUCCGUGCCAGCCGCCGCGGUAAUUC